rnacentral:rRNA from 1 species
UACGUAGGGGGCUAGCGUUGUCCGGAAUCAUUGGGCGUAAAGCGCGUGUAGGCGGUCCGGUAAGUCCGCUGUGAAAGUCGGGGGCUCAACCCUGGAAAGCCGGUGGAUACUGUCGGGCUAGAGUCCGGAAGAGGCGAGUGGAAUCCUGGUGUAGCGGUGGAAUGCGCAGAUAUCAGGAGGAACACCGAUGGCGAAGGCAGCUCGCUGGGACGGUACUGACGCUGAGGCG